rnacentral:rRNA from 1 species
UACGUAGGGUGCGAGCGUUAAUCGGAAUUACUGGGCGUAAAGCGUGCGCAGGCGGCUCCGUGCGGUAGGGGGUGAAAUCGCCCGGCUCAACUGGGCGCGGGCUUCCUAGACGGCGGAGCUUGAGGCUCGGCGGGGGGCGCGGAAUUCCGGGUGGAGCGGUGAAAUGCGUAGAGAUCCGGAGGAACACCGACGGCGUAGGCAGCGCCCUGGACGAGUUCUGACGCUCAGGCACGAAAGCUGGGGGAGCAAACAGG